CUCACAGGCUGUGAGAACUCUGUUCAUGGAUCUUUCAAAAGCAAGACGGAAAAUGGAUCUGAUCAUCAUGAAGGAUCAAGAGAAGAUGGAAUAAAGAAAUGAGAAAGGAUCAGGCUGCACAGAGAUAUGAAGGUGACAGCAAUAAUAAAAACGGGACGACGAUGGAACCCAGAAAAUGUCUCCUACUGCUUUGUGCCUGCAGUGAAGCAAUGCAUAGCAUCCAAGCAUCCUCCGAGGGAAUCCGCACUAACAGGCUUCAAGGCACAGCCAGCAAGACCAUGUGAGAGAGUGCUGCUGACCUCUCCCACGUACCCUUCCUGCCUG
rnacentral:lncRNA from 1 species